rnacentral:rRNA from 1 species
GAUGAACGCUGGCGGCGUGCCUAAUACAUGCAAGUCGAGCGAACGGACGCGAAGCUUGCUUUUCUGAUGUUAGCGGCGGACGGGUGUGUCACACGUGUAUAACCUCCCUAUAUGACUGGGAUAACUUCGGGAAACCGGAGCUAAUACCGGAUAAUAUUUUGAACCGCAUGGUUCAAAAGUGAAAGACGGUCUUGCUGUCACUUAUAGAUGGAUCCGCGCUGCAUUAGCUAGUUGGUAAGGUAACGGCUUACCAAGGCAACGAUGCGUAGCCGACCGGAGAGGCUGAUCGGCGACACUGGAACUGAGACACGGUCCAGAGUCCUACGGGAGGCAGCAGUAGGGAAUCUGACGCAAUGGGCGAAAGCCUGACGGAGCAACGCCGCGUGAGUGAUGGAGGUGUUCGGAGCGUAAAACUCUGUUACUAGGGAAGAACAGAUGUGUCAGUAACUGUGCACAUCGUGACGGUACCUAAUAAGAAAGCCACGGCUAACUACGUG